rnacentral:rRNA from 1 species
UACGAAGGGCCCGAGCGUUGCGCGGAAUCACUGGGCUUAAAGCGUACGUAGGCGGACAGACAGGCGUCUUGUGAAAUCCCUCGGCUCAACCGAGGAAUUGCUCGGCGAACCGUCUGUCUUGAGGCAAGUAGGGGCUGUCGGAACGAUAGGUGGAGUGGUGAAAUGCGUUGAUAUCUAUCGGAACGCCGAAGGAGAAAUCAGGCAGCUGGGCUUGUCCUGACGCUGAGGUACGAAAGCGUGGGGAGCGAACGGG